rnacentral:sRNA from 1 species
UGCUCUCUGAUUCCUAAAAGGCUGGGUGGGCGCGGUGGCGCAUGCCUAUAAUCCCAGCAUUUUAGGAAGCCGAGGCGGGUGGAUCAUGAGAUGAGGAGUUCGAGACAAGCCUGGCCAACAUGAUCGAGAAGAAGCUGGAACCGCUGUCACAGGAUGAAGACCAGCACGCGGACCUGACCCAGAGCCGCCGCCCACUUACCAGCUGCACCAUUUUCCUGGGAUAUACAUCCAACCUCAUCAGUUCAGGCAUCCGUGGACGUAUUGGUGACCACAGCUGGCGGCGUGGAGGAAGACCUCAUCAAGUGCCUGGCGCCCACGUACUUAGGCGAGUUUAGCCUCAGGGGGAAGGAGCUCCGGGAGAACGGGAUCAAUAGGAUCGGAAACCUGCUGGUGCCCAAUGACAAUUACUGCAAGUUUGAGGACUGGCUGAUGCCCAUUCUGGACCAGAUGGUGCUGGAGCAGAACACAG